UACGGGGGGUGCAAACGUUGCUCGGAAUUAUUGGGCGUAAAGCGCACGUAGGCGGCUCGUUGUGUCCGGUGUGAAAUCCCUCGGCUUAACCGAGGAAGUGCAUUGGAAACUGGCGAGCUUGAGUACGGAAGAGGGUCGCGGAAUUCCCGGUGUAGAGGUGAAAUUCGUAGAUAUCGGGAGGAACACCAGUGGCGAAGGCGGCGACCUGGGCCGAUAUUGACGCUGAGGUGCGAAAGCGUGGGGAGCAAACAGG
rnacentral:rRNA from 1 species